rnacentral:SRP_RNA from 21 species
GUGCUAGACGGGGAGGUAGCGGUGCCCUGUUACCUGCAAUCCGCUAUAGCAGGGUCGAAUUCCUAUAAUAGGCAUGCUUCUGUAAGGUCUGCCCUUUGCAAGUGGCGAUGAAAAUUGGGUCCUACGCAACGGAAGCCUAUGAACCCCGUCAGGUUCGGAAGAAAGCAGCGGUAAG